rnacentral:lncRNA from 1 species
CACGUGUCGCCAUCGAGAAAUUGGGGUGGGUCUGAAAGCUCUAGAACGUGCAUUUUAUCAUUCUAGACUUUCCCCUAGGAUGAAACCGCAAGCUACUUGAAAGGGUUUUUGUUUUUUGUUUUGGCACAAGGUUAAUUCUCUUUACCUCCCUUGUUGGCCAUGAGAAUAGUUAGCAGGCCCAACAAGGAUUCCUGUAAAAUUGAGUGAUGGCAGGCAGGUGUGUCUGUGUAGUAUCUAACCAAAUACCCAAGCAUCUAGAAAUCCGUUUUCCUAGACGCUGUACAGAUUGUAGUGUAACUGAUUAAAGAUUGUUAUGGCUAAGAAGCCAUAGAAUGACUGUGUCUCCCUAUCCAACUGUCCAGUGAUCCAUAAACAAUUGUGUUCACUUUUAUAGUCAAGAGGAACAGUUCGUGGUUGUGGAUGUGCCACACCAGAUUCCAAACAUUUUUUUCAUAUGCAAUAUGAUUUUUUAAGUUGCAAAUUCCCUGAAGUUGGUAUUUAUUUCUCUUUUUUCCCCCAGCAGAGCAAGACAAACCCAGAGAGAUGAAGUGACUGACCCAAGGUUACACAGGAUGGAAUCUGUAUCUUCUGAUUUCCUUACUGGCCCACAGUGCAUGUUCUGAGGAGCAGCCCUGGAAGCUACUGCGAUAAUGGAACAGUGGAGUAGAUAGUCCAUUAUAACUCAUCUGUGAUUCUUCUCAAAUUUAAGUGACUACAGAUGUUUCCCAGUCUCCUUGCUGUGCAUGAACAGACUGAAACUGAAUCCAGAAAAGUGAAGUGACGUGUAUUGAGUCACACAGCUCUCGCCACAAUGGAACUUCAGGCACAUAACCCAAGUCCUGCUGAGCUGUCCUGUAGUGCUGUCACUCCACAGCACAUGGUCAUUCGGAGUAAACUGAGAUAUUUUUACUGAGACAGGAAUUUUGCCAGCCAUUCAUGGGGAAUCAGGAAGAGGUAAUAACUCUUUAUACUCAAAAUGUGGCCCAUUUGAAGAACCACAGAUCCCUUUGCCCUGAUGUCCCAUCCCAGUUAAUGGAUCUACCUUGUAAUUCUCAAACUCAAUAAAACCAGAAAGUUGCUUCA